rnacentral:sRNA from 1 species
CGCGGUUGUGUCUGGGAAGGAGAGAAAAUGGCGGCGGAGCCGAACAAGACCGAAAUCCAGACUCUUUUUAAGAGGCUUCGCGCGGUUCCAACCAACAAGGCCUGUUUCGACUGCGGCGCCAAGAAUCCGAGUUGGGCCAGCAUCACGUAUGGUGUUUUCUUGUGCAUUGACUGUUCCGGGGUGCACCGCUCUCUGGGCGUCCAUCUGAGCUUCAUCAGGUCCACAGAGUUGGAUUCCAACUGGAACUGGUUCCAGCUGAGGUGUAUGCAGGUCGGCGGGAAUGCCAAUGCGACGGCUUUUUUCCGCCAACAUGGAUGCACAGCCAAUGAUGCCAACACCAAAUAUAAUAGCCGAGCUGCCCAGAUGUACCGGGAGAAGAUCCGGCAGCUGGGGAGCGCGGCCCUGGCUAGGCACGGCACUGAUCUUUGGAUAGACAACAUGAGUAGUGCCGUUCCUAGUCACUCCCCAGAGAAGAAGGACUCUGAUUUCUUCACAGAACACACUCAAAACUGAAAAGCUCCAUCAUUGGCAAGAAGAAGCCAGCAGCAGCUAAGAAAGGGCUGGGUGCCAAGAAAGGCCUAGGGGCCCAGAAGGUGAGCAGCCAGAGCUUCAGUGAGAUUGAGCGGCAGGCCCAGGUGGCAGAGAAGCU